ACGGCAGCGACAUGGAAGGAAUUUCCAGGUUGUGCGUUUAGAGAAAGGCAAACAGAACUUGUUUAGUUGCUCAUCUCCGAAGAGCCACCGCUACCUCCUUCUUCGCCACCCAGGACCCUGCAUCUGUACAAAGAAAUGUCUCCAGCCACAAGCGUCUGCUGUGCGGAGGAGAGGCACACAGAGUGGUGUAACUUUUGGCUGUUUCCAUUGCCAGCCCCCUGGGUGAGAAUUGAUUGAAGCAAAACAGACAGAUGUUCCUAAGUCAAUCUCACCUUCUCUCCUGGCUCUUUCGUUGCUCUGUGCUCUACAAGAGCAGAACGGGUGACUGGAGGUAGGGUGCAGCUGGUAGAGUGCUUUCCGUGCAUGCAGGAGGAUCUAAGUUUGGGUCUCUAGCACCCAAGUCUGACAUGGUGGCGCCCGUCGGUAAUGAGGCAAAAUGAGGAGAAUCCUUGGGUAUUUUGACCAGCCGACCUAGACAAGACAAUGAAAUGUGACUUGCGUUCUGCUGAGACUGACUGGAUAAAAGCGCCAUCUUCCCCAGGUCACCCUUACAGCAGCAGAAAGGAAGGUGUUUCCACUUGCUGUGACAGGGACCUGGGUAGCUGACAGUCUUCCAUUUCAUUCUUUGCUUUCAUCUGUUCACUGAAAUGCAUGUGGUUUUCAGACACAGGAAAGAAAACAUGCCCGCCUGUGGUUGAACUUUCCACUAGAGAAUAGACAAACGGCAGCUCAGCACCAGUGCUGGUGGGGAGGGCCUUUCUGCUUAAACACAAGAACCCGCCUGAGAAAAAUCCCUCUCCAGAAGAAUGCUGUGGAUGGCUGCAGUUCUCAGAAGAUUUUGGGAACGAGGUCACAUGGCAUCGGGUCCUAUGAUGGAAGAUACUUGUGACUGGAGAAUGGGUGUGGCUUCAAGGUCCUUUCUGCGUUUUUUUUCUCUUCUAAUUUGAAUUUUGGGGAAUCAGAGAAUGGCAUCUUUCUUGCCGAUAUUCCCCGUUUCCCAUCUCCUCUAAAUAUAUUACCAGCUCCCACCGGAAGCGAAUUGGCCCAUGAAAAUGUCUCUUCCUCUGGUAGCGCCUGACCUUUAGAGCUGCUUUCAAUUCCCGUUCGGGGGUUGUUCCUCCGGGUCUGACCUGUGGAGUUCAUUUUACAGAUAGUUGGUGUGUCUAACAGUACAGGGGUAAACAGCCUUGGCUAAGUCUCAUGUGAUUUUCCAAGAGGUCAUCUGCCUGGCCUGCAAGAGAAGAAUGGGCCAAUAGCAUCGUAAACACACGGUGACUUGAUUCUUUUCCUUCCACUGCCUUGUCAUCCACAGUAAGGUAAGAUCAUAGGGAGGGAAGCUCUGUAGGGUUUGGAGAGGCAUUGCUGCCAGUGAUGUACAUAUGGGAGUUCAGCACAGAGAGCUUUGCCUCCAGGGUAUAGAGGAAGCUGGCGUGAGCCUGUCUGCCUCUUACUCUCUUAUCUAGGCAGGCGAAUUCUCUUCAGCAUGGGUGUGAUAAACACACGUGCACAGUUGGGGUCUGUAAAAACGCAUUUCUACCAGCAUUGGGUGGUAUGGGAGCAAUCUCCUGACUCUUUCCCAUUGAAGUCGGCCCUCAGGAUAACAGCCAGAGCAACCCCUGCAAAUGUCUAUUCGGGUCACGACAGCUCCGCUCUCCCUAGGCGACCUGCCCUAGCACCCACUCCCCAGAUCUGUUUGAAAGACUCACCUUCCUCGCUCUGCUUGAGUCUCAUGAGCCACCUUACUCCUUAGCGUGCCUAACAAAUCAUAGCCUAAGACAUUUAUUGAAGGCAUCCGUCUGGUCCUGCCUUCCUCAAUUUCUCAGUGACCACUUUACUACUAUUUCGGGACACAAGCUGCUAUCUCAAAAGCCUGAUUGAUUCAAAUCACUAGGAAUUGAAUCCAGGGCUCUGGGCACGGUAGACAAACACCCAGCCACUGAACUAUAUCGCAAGAAACGUCGUACAAUCCCAAUACUACUUUAAAAAAAUAUGACGACUUACUAGUUACCUAAAAAUUGCAAGAUUAUUUUAGCAUUAGCAAUCAAUCCAUGCCAGGCAGUAGCAUAACUGGGAGAAAAAAAAAUUUACUCAUUUCAAGAGACACAAAGUAUCAGGGCAUUAAUCUUGACAAAAAAAAUAUAGAAAGGUACUUCCUUAAACUUAAUAAUUAUAUCUAGAGAAACCGAGAGACAUCCUUCUUAAUGAAGAAGUGUUGAAACAAUCACUAGUGGCAUCGGGAACAUGGUGAAAACACUUUUAAUAUAAGCUGUCAACUUUCUACUGGAAUUCUUUAGCCAGUAAGCAGGGCAGGGGAAUCAAUAAACAGAUAAGGAAUGGUUAGGCCAGUAUAAUCUGGCCUGACUUGUGGAUGAGACAUAUGCAUUUAUAGACUUAAAACAACCUGCAAAUAUAAGACCAGAAGUUUCGGAAGGUAUUUUUUAGAUCAAAAUCAACAUAAAAAUCAAUAAUGUUAAUACAAUGUCAAUACUACUAUUGUCACUAAAAGGUUAUAAUGAUAUUAGAACAAUUAUUAGAUGAUGCUGUAGUUGGAAUAGAGACUGGCAAAUUCUUUUUAAAAUAGUGUUUAACUUUCUUUUUUAUUUAUUCUUUGUGUCUUUCACAUCAUGCAUCUCUAUCACAUUCAUUUCUAGUCCCUGCAUAUCUGCCCUCUGCCCUUGUAACCUCCCUGCCCCCCAAAAGGAAAAAAAAGAAAAGAAAAUUUAAUGGAAAAAAAUGAAAAAAAGGGAAAAAUCUCACCAUGGAAGUUUUAAUGUGAUACAGUGAUUCAUGCAGUAAACUCUUUUAUCCAUAUAUCUUUAUUUGCAAGUGUUCAUUGCAAAAAGUUUUUGAUCUGAUCCGAGGCCUCUGGUUUCUGCUAUACUAUCAAUGCUGGGUCCUCACUAGGACUCUCUUGGAUAUCCUGUUGUGGCCCUGAGUCAUGGAGACUCUCCAGCUUUGGAUCUGUAGGACCCGCCCCUUCACGUGCUCCAGCAGAUCAUAGAAGAGGUGGGUGUUGGAGCGGGCCAACUCUUAACUCUGGUUCUGGGCCUGGGUAGUGGCAGGAGUGGUGAGUCUGCUAGCUCUCCCUGUCUUCACUAACAGGGUAAGCUCUGCAGCAAGGAUGAGCGAGGGGUGGGUCUAGUUUCCCUGCUUUCACGUCCCCAGCGUCAGCUCUCCCACACUUCCACCUUCAGGGCCAGCUCUACUGUGCUGUCAGGCGAGGUCCAUGAACCCCUCUCCCGAGUGCUGCAGCUGGUAAUGGGCAGGAGCAGCGCUCCAGCUCUUAGGACCUCAGGUGAGGAGCGGUAGGGGGCAUCUCUCCCCAACCCAUGCCCCCGUAAGGCGGAUGAAGGGUGGGGCAGAGCCUGGCACAUUCUAACCAGUCUUCUGCUCCUUCUAGGUGUAUAGUUGGACACGAACUGCAAAGGCAUUAGGUUAGGUUUAGCCAUAUGUCUAAGCAAACAGAAGGAAUCGGUACCAGGAGUUCAAUUCAAAGCACAAGUUUGAACAAAUCAUGUAGGGGCUGGGCUUAGGGAGAAAAUUCAGUUGGUAGAGUACUCAUCUUAGAGCAUAGGGACCUGAGUUUGAGCCCCAGAGCCCACAUGAAAAUGUUUGAAAUCCUAGUGUUUGGGAGGUAAAGACAGGAGACCCUUGGGGCUUCCUGGCCAGCCUGCCUAGUAUAAUUGACAAA